rnacentral:rRNA from 1 species
AUUGAACGCUGGCGGCAUGCUUUACACAUGCAAGUCGAGCGGCAGCGCGGGGGCAACCCUGGCGGCGAGCGGCGAACGGGUGAGUAAUGCAUCGGAACGUAUCCUCGAGUGGGGGAUAACCCAGCGAAAGUUGGGCUAAUACCGCAUGAGCUCUGAGGAGGAAAGCGGGGGACCUGCGAGGGCCUCGCGCUGGGGGAGCGGCCGAUGUCCGAUUAGCUAGUUGGUGGGGUAAAGGCUUACCAAGGCGACGAUCGGUAGCUGGUCUGAGAGGAUGAUCAGCCACACUGGGACUGAGACACGGCCCAGACUCCUACGGGAGGCAGCAGUGGGGAAUUUUGGACAAUGAGGGCAACCCUGAUCCAGCCAUGCCGCGUGAGUGAAGAAGGCCUUCGGGUUGUAAAGCUCUUUCGGACGGAACGAAAUGGGCGGGACUAAUACUCCUGUCUGAUGACGGUACCGUAAGAAGAAGCACCGGCUAACUACGU